rnacentral:tRNA from 9 species
GCCGGUGUGGUGGAAUUGGUAGACGCGCCGGACUCAAAAUCCGGUUCCGCAAGGAGUGUCGGUUCGAGUCCGACCACCGGCACCA